AGUCCAUCAGCCAAACCCUUCUCCUAUUCGUCCAGUGAAGAAGUUAGGCAUAUGUAGCAAAGGAAGCAGUCCCAUGCCUAAGGGAAUUUUCUCAAUGGAAAGAAUAGGCUUGGGCUCACCAUCCAAGCUCCCUCCUAGAACGGCAAUUGGGCUGCAGUUCUGUCUUUCCUUAGAAUCAAUAUCGUAGCGUAGAGUAAUCACAGAAGUCAAAGUCAGACAAAAGUUUACUAGGAUUUCAAAAUCCCUUCAUUAUUAGUAAGAU
rnacentral:lncRNA from 1 species